GAGUUUCUGAGCUCACUGAGACCCUGUUGUGAGUGGCGCUAGACAGCAAUGCAACACUGGCCAUACUUAUUCAAAAGGAUUAAGCCUAAGCCUCUUGCUGAGUACUCAGAGGUGCCAGAGGCUAGGUUUGGGUAGACAACGGAAAGCAGCAGUCUCUUUGUCCAACCUACCCAGUGGGAGAGACCUCAGCUGUCCAGAAUGGAAGCUGCAGGUCUUUUGUAACGUUUUAUUCCACUUUGCUAAUCUGACCUAGAGCACAGCCAUAUAAACAGUUGUAUUGGCACAACUGAGCAGAAAAUAAAUUGGAGAUGAGGUUGAGAGAGUCAGUGGAUGAAAUCAAGAAAAAAUAGGAGCAUCUUUUUCUCAUUUUGCUGCCAAAUAAAUCAUAAUCUGGGACCAAACAUUUGCUUUGUGUAGGUUUAACUUUCUGUCCCAGGUUUAUGCACAUCUCAAAAUACCAUGCAGGCAGAACCUGAGAAGAAAAGCAAGUCAGAUUUCCUGGUAGUGUUGGUGUUGGACUAAUUGUACCUGGUAGGAGCAGGGGAAAGUGGAUAUACAGUGCAGAAUACUGAAAUGUAUGAAAUACCACAUAAAGUUUUGACCUACUGAAAGUGAAAUGCAUGGU